GACGAACGCUGGCGGCGUGCUUAACACAUGCAAGUCGAACGGAAAGGCCCUGCUGUUGUGGGGUGCUCGAGUGGCGAUCGGGUUAGUAACACGUGAGUAACCUGCCCUUGACUUUCGGAUAACUUCACGUAACUGGGGCUAAUACCGGAUAGGAGCUCCUGCUGCAUGGUGGGGGUGGGAGAGUAUAGGCGGUUGGGGGUGGAGUCCCGGCUUAUCAGCUUGCUGGGGGGGUAGUGGGUUACCAAGGCUUUGAAAGGUAGCCGAGCUGGGAGGAGGACACGAUCAGUUGGGAUGGGAAUACGACACGGACUCCAAUGGGAGGCAACGGAGGGGUAGAGUGUACUAUGGGCGGAAGGCUAAUGUAGCAACGCCGCGUGCGGGAAGACGGCAUUCGGUUUGGAAACCGCUUUCGCCUGUGACGAAGCGUGAGUGACGGUAAUGGGUAAAGAAGCACCGGCUAACUACGUG
rnacentral:rRNA from 1 species